GAUGAACGCUGACAGAAUGCUUAACACAUGCAAGUCAACUUGAACUUCGGUUUGGGUGGCGGACGGGUGAGUAACGCGUAAAGAACUUGCCUCACAGAUAGGGACAACAUUUGGAAACGAAUGCUAAUACCUGAUAUUAUGAUUAUAUGGCAUCGUAUAAUUAUGACAGCUAUAUGCGCUGUGAGAGAGCUUUGCGUCCCAUUAGCUAGUUGGAGAGGUAACGGCUCACCAAGGCGAUGAUGGGUAGCCGGCCUGAGAGGGUGAUCGGCCACAAGGGGACUGAGACACAGCCCUUACUCCUACGGGAGGCAGCAGUGGGGAAUAUUGGACAAUGGACCAAGAGUCUGAUCCAGCAAUUCUGUGUGAACGAUGAAGUUUUUCGGAAUGUAAAGUGCUUUCAGUUGGGAAGAAAAAAAUGACGGUACCAACAGAAGAAGUGACGGCUAAAUACGU
rnacentral:rRNA from 1 species